AACGCANCGAAAGCUGUGCUAAUACCGCAUACGAUCUGAGGAUGAAAGCGGGGGACCUUCGGGCCUCGCGCGGUCGGAGCGGCCGAUGUCGGAUUAGCUAGUUGGUGGGGUAAAGCCCUACCAAGGCGACGAUCCGUAGCUGGUCUGAGAGGACGACCAGCCACACUGGGACUGAGACACGGCCCAGACUCCUACAGGAGGCAGCAGUGGGGAAUUUUGGACAAUGGGCGCAAGCCUGAUCCAGCAAUGCCNCGUGCGGGAAGAAGGCCUUCGGGUUGUAAACCGCUUUUGGCAGGAACGAAAAGCUCUGGGCUAAUACCCUGGGGUGAUGACGGUACCUGCAGAAUAAGCACCGGCUAACUACGUGCCAGCAGCCGCGGUAAU
rnacentral:rRNA from 1 species